rnacentral:rRNA from 1 species
UGAGGAAUAUUGGUCAAUGGACGAGAGUCUGAACCAGCCAAGUAGCGUGCAGGAUGACGGCCCUAUGGGUUGUAAACUGCUUUUGUUUGGGAAUAAUCGACAUUACGUGUAAUGUUUUGCAUGUACCAUUCGAAUAAGGACCGGCUAAUUACGUGCCAGCAGCCGCGGUAAUACGUAAGGUCCGAGCGUUGUCCGGAAUCAUUGGGCGUAAAGGGUACGUAGGCGGAUAAGCAAGUUAGAAGUGAAAUCCUAUAGCUCAACUAUAGUAAGCUUUUAAAACUGCUCAUCUUGAGGUAUGGAAGGGAAAGUGGAAUUCCUAGUGUAGCGGUGAAAUGCGCAGAUAUUAGGAGGAAUACCGGUGGCGAAGGCGACUUUCUGGCCAUAUACUGACGCUGAGGUACGAAAGCGUGGGUAGCAAACAGG